AACGGCCAUACCAUGCUGAAUAUACCGGUUCUCGUUAGAUCACCGAAGUCAAGCAUCAUUGGGCGUGGUCAGUACUUGGAUGGGUGACCACCUGGGAACACCGUGUGCAGU
rnacentral:rRNA from 1 species